UACGUAGGUCGCAAGCGUUGUCCGGAUUUACUGGGCGUAAAGAGCGCGCAGGCGGUCGUUCAAGUCGCGUGUGAAAGCCCCCGGCUCAACUGGGGAGGGUCACGCGAUACUGAUCGACUCGAAGGCAGGAGAGGGUAGUGGAAUUCCCGGUGUAGUGGUGAAAUGCGUAGAUAUCGGGAGGAACACCAGUGGCGAAGGCGACUACCUGGCCUGUUUCUUGACGCUGAGGCGCGAAAGCUAGGGGAGCAAACGGG
rnacentral:rRNA from 1 species